rnacentral:misc_RNA from 1 species
ACAGCCAAUUUAAGCUUUGCCCUUGGUGAUUGGUGGGCCAAAAUGCUGACAUCAAUACUUGGAAGCAUCUAAUAAGGAGAUAGUACACAGGAAAUUUUUUCUUUUCUUUUCAAAUUAAAUAUAACUGAAGCUUCCCUCAUUCUUUGAGUUGGGCUUUUCAUAAUCUGUCCAAAUAAACAAAGGAGUUGAGCGUUCAAUGAGAAACCCCUACUACUAAUAUGCACAAAACCCAAAAACAUGAUUUAAGUACAAUGCAGGACUCCAACAAAAGGCACCAGAGACUAACCUCUACACCCAAAUGCCGGGACUAACACUAUAAAAGAAUCAUAUUUUGAUUCUAACCUUUUUUUUUCUAAACACUGUUCUAUUCCUAUAAUAUGGCUGCCAGAAACCCAUUCCAGCAUCCAUCAAAUGCACUACCACCAGGUGCUCAUCCUUAGCUCUGGUAGUAUAUGAAGUUUUUAAUACACUAGGGUAAAGGAAGAAAUGUUAACAUCUUCAACAUUCCUUCUCCAUCAUAGAGCGACACGGACAUCUGACUUCUCUGGUGACAACGACUAUGUAUGACCUGCAAAGCAUAAAACCUACAAUUAAUAAUGGAAACAUAAUCCAUAAAUUUUAUACAAAAAUAUAUUUGGACCCAUUUUUUUCCACAUAAGACAAGUAUAGUUGAUUCCCCCACUAUUCAAUGAUGAUAAGAUUCAAAACUAAAACCUAGGUCAACUCAUGCUUUCAGAAAAAGGCUGCUUUCAAGAAGGAUUCUAUUACAUUAAUUUUGGUGGUAAAUCUCAACAACAGUGCUUUGGAGGCACCAUCUUCAAAAUGAAUAGAAUCAGAUUAUCGUUCAUAUUAGCUUAAGCCAUCAUUUUAUCCCUCAAGCUAUUGAUUUUACCUCUAGAAUGCACAAUAAAUAGUUUGCAAGGCUAGAUUCGAAGCCCGCCACUCAAGUAGCAGUUCCGCUGCUCGUAGUCCUGCUGCAAUCUUAAGGAUACCUGCAAAAAUAACUGUUAUAACAAUCUGCCCCAUAACACCAGUAGUAGCAACCUAUGUUGGAAAACUUAGCAUCAUACACCAAUAGUAGAACAAUGCCACUCACCUUGAUCAACCCCUCACCCAGCUGUUUGGUCAGAACCGCUACGCUGCAUAUACUGAGAAGAAGGAGCAGGAACUAUAAACUGUGGUUGUGCUGGAACAGGUGCACCUAUACCCGAAAAAACCAAUGCACUCGCCUACUUAAUUCUAUUUGCAUGGUACGUAUUUUGAUGCUAUGACUGUUAGCAAAAUUUUGUAACAUUGUCCCUAAAUGAUCUAAGCUAGAUUUAAAUCUUUUGCUUUCUCCCUUGACCUGUUGUCACUAAAAUAUAACUACCUAUGCCCUUCCUCAUGGCAAAUUGUAUUUUUCAAUUGCCUUCCACACCAUUUUUCCAUUUUAAUCAUCUCUCUUCACACCUUCCCUUUUCUCAUACUUUACUAGUUUUAUAUUUUAAUAUGAAUUAUGUGAUGUAAACUUGUCAUACCAAGAGCAGCUCUAAUAUAGAACAGAUAGAUAAACCGAACAUAUUUCCCCUGUGCUUGGUUGACCUUUCAAUGAAACAUUUACCUGCAGGAUAUGGUGCUUGAAUAGUGGGUACAGGUGAAGAUGUUAUUGCAUUAACACUAGGUCCACCAAACUGCAUAACAUGAUGACCUGGUAUAGCAUACCCCUGCACUGUUGUAUAACCAUGACCUCCGGGAAGGGUUUGACCCAACUGUCCAUAAGGAUAAAUUGCUGUGUUGACUGUUCCAGGUACACCAUAUAUCUGAAGGUACUGCUGACCCGCAUAAGGGUUGUAGACACCCUGCGGGUAGACACACUCAGGUCCAUAUGCUGCAUAUCUGCAUAAAUAACAGAGUCAUCGAGGAUGUUGAAAAGAUCAGCAUACCGCAAGGAUUUUGCAAUAUGUUAUUAAUAAUCAUAAGAGUCUAGAAGUUCAGUGAACUACAUGCAGCAUCAAUCCCAAAAAUGACCCAUUUCAAGCAUGUCCAAAAGAUAAAUCAAGACAAGUGAUAAGCCCAAACAGAGGAAACUAAGAAUUUUCAGGUCAAUGUUUCUCCUCCUCUUCUAAUUAAACGACAACUGUAAUCUUGCCUGUUCAAUAGAAAAUGCGCCGGGGCACAUAUCCUCUGCAACUACCACUUUUUGCAUUCCUGCAAUUACCAAUCACACCAUGUCACAUCUCUGAAUUUGGGGUAAAAUGCACCCCGAGUUCUGAGAAACUGACUAAUUAUUCCUAGAUCAACUAAAAACUUCUAACUGACGUUUGAUGAUGUGAUUGGCACAUGCACGAAUAGCAAUACAUAAGGAAAGAGAGAUAAGACAGAUAGUAGUUGCAAAGGACAUGUACCCAUCCAACUGAAAUAUGGGGCCACAUGCUAGGAUCAAAUUGGCAUUGUUGUUAGAACUAUAAUUCGAAAAGCACUAACGUGAAUACGUUGAUUGGAGUCCAUAAUAAUUAUUCUAAUGUAAUCUCAAACUGUAAGAACUUUUAUUGAACUGCUUUUGCAACAUCUAAAAGCAAAAUUUUUUGAAAAGCAAUUUCAAUCACCAUACCAAACAUCCAAGUAAAUAGCAUAGGUUCACAAGCAAAAGCAGUACAUAUGCAGGGCAGAUAAGGCUACUCAAAUAGUUGACCACUAGCCGACAAUUGAACAACAAAUUCAGAUGACCAAAACCAUAGGCAAGGCAUGACCAACAGCAAAGUAUUAUUACACCAAGAAAAAAAAAAGUCACGAAAAUUAGAUAGUGAAAAUUUGGGGUAAAAAUCCUAAAAAUGAUUCGAUAUUAUACUCCACCUACAUUAAAGUGGAAUAUCUCAUUGGAAUUAUCAUUUAAUACUGAAGCUUUAUUAGUGAUCCAUUGAGCAAGCCAAAUAUCAUAUGUGCUAUAGAAUGAUUGAAAAACAAAACAAUUUAGUCACUUCUACAUCAAAAUACAUAAAGGACAUAAAGAGGAAGGGGAAGAAACAACAUUAAUGUACAAAUCAUGAAACUGGAUUUGAACUUGGAACCAAACAAAUUGAGUGAGUAUCAACUUGCAACAUAUAAGUUUAAUAGUGAUACUUUUUUCCACCUCACAUUAAACUCACCCAUAUGGAUGAUACAUCAAUCCUUGUUGGUAGUUGUAAGGAAGUGGCUGCUGGUACCCAAAAUUUCCAACAUAUGUCCCCCUGGGGGUUUGCACACUUGCAAUAAAUGGGGUAGCUGGUCUCAAACGUCCUGUAAUAAAACAAAGCAGUAAGAAAACCAGACAACUGAAAAAUAAAGUCAGUAAGAUACAUUGGCUGUCGUUCGACUACAUAUGCAAAGCAACUAAAGGAAUUGCAGCACAGGAGUGUGCAUGUCAAGUGUCAAAUACUCUUUCCACAUCAGCUUGCUUGACAAACUUCAAAUGUUGAAGUCAAGAAUUAUCAACAUCUUGUACUGAAACAUGUUCCGCCUAAUAAACAAAACCUAGUAAACCUACCCAGCAUAAGAUUGGUAUAACACGAUAUAAUACCAUAAGGCAGUGGUGGUCGAGGUCGCCCAAGUGAAGCCAAAUUACAAUUUGCCCGUCUACCAUCAAUAAUUGGGGUAGGAUCAGCACAGGCUCUCUUAGCGGCCUCUGGUUCCCGGAAAGUCACAAAACCGUAACCUUUUGAUCGGCCGGUAUUCUUAUCGGUGAUGACAACGGCCUCGAGAAUUUCUCCAAACUGCUCGAAAUAACGGCCCAUGGUCUCGCUCUGAGUCUCCCAAGCAAGCCCCCCAACGAAAACCUUGGUGUACGUGGUAUUACCAAAAGGGGAAUUCAAAUAUUGAAACCCUGAACUUGAACUCGAUCCCGAGCUAGGACCUGGGAUCGGUUGAUGAGCCAUGAAUUGAAAUGAAAACGAAAACGGAAAUUCCUAGAGAAAAUGAGAAAAGAGAGAGAGAGAGAGAGAGA